GGGGGGGGUUGGUUUGCCACUGUUCUAUUAGUUGAAAAAUGAUAGCCUACUUUUUUCAACGGACCUGCAAAAUACACGUUUUUAUCCAUAUUCAAAGGAAAAGUAUACCAUGCAUUUCGUGUUUAGAAACCACAUGCGCUUUGCUAAUUGUUCCAUAACAUAUUCUAAAUCUUUCAAGUCAAUGUGAAAGUUAGCAACAAGACGUGUUAUGGAUAACGUUUACCUAAGAGUUUCAAUUUUAAUGGUUGAAAUUAGAAAAUGGGUCUCUUUUCUUGUUUGGAGAUUUUAUAAGAGGUCCUUCUGGCUUGUUUUUUCUAUUUGGAAAUACCUUAUUAGCUGUGUCAAACCGAAAGAGGAAAAAAGGUGCCCCCCUUCAAAAUUAGGGCGAAUCUGGGAGGUAACUAUACUUGUUUGAAGUGAUGAAUAAAUGAUGUCGGUGUUUAGGUUGGUGCCUUGGUGGAUAGGGUGAUAAAUGCUAAUGUGAUUAACUUUUACUGUUGAGGUAUGAUAUUCUAUUGUUCUGUUCAGUAUGUUGAGGAUAUCUUGUACAAAAAUUGUUAACGGCCUAGUUAGAGGAUAAAGGAACACAAAUUGGAAGAUCAUUAUUCUCCCAGUUGAAUGACCUUUCUGCUCAUAUUUGAAUUUUGUUCAUGCACAAAUACUGUUCUUUUCAUAUUUUUUCUAUUGCAAAGUGCCAAAGUUGGGAUAUUGAAAGAGAUUUUGAUCCUUCGUGUUCUUUUACAAGUUAAACAAUCUUGGCUAGUUGAUUGUUUUGCCCAUCUUUUUUACACAAAGAAUAGUUUAUAUUUAGUAUACUCAUACGGAGGAGGGCAUGGUUAUAAAAUUUCUGUUAUCGGCUUGUUGGCAGUUCAGAGUUGGAUUAGUAUUUGGAUAAUAUAACAGAUGUUUUUUGAUAAAAAGGUGGAAGAUUAUAUAAAAAUGUUGCAACCAUAUUUUUAUUCCUUUCUCCUCUGCCACCAUGCCGUUGGAAGACCGGGGGGAGGGGGGGGUAUCACUCUACUCUCAGUUAAUCGAUGGUAGUUCAAAGGUAUAAAAGAACUAUAGAUCAUAACUAUGAAAAAUCUUGCUCAUUGAACUGAGUAAUAUCCACAAUCAAGACUUCAUGAUAUAUAAAAACAUAUCUUGCUUGUGAAAUAACGUACAAAAAGGUUAAAAACCAUAUAUUAAAGCCAUUAAUUUGCCUGUAUUAUGCAUUCACAUACUUUUAUUAAAGAUGGGGUGAAAAUCUUUCCUCUUGCCAAUAUUGUGUUAAAAAGACUUCUUUGAUUAGGCACCCAAGGGUGUGACCUUAGUUGUCAAUAAUGUGGUGCAAACCUCGGAUGUCAGUGUUCAAUCCCAGCAGAGAGACAAAAUACACUAGAUUUUUUUCCAUCCACCUAAGUUUUGUAGGACAGAGUUACCAGGACAUAUGCUGGUGGGAAGUAGCCCGUACUUCAUGGAAUAGUCGAGGUGCAUGCAAGCUGGUCAGGAUAUCACCAUUAUAAAAAAGACUUCUUUGAUCAGUAUCUUUGUGUAUUUAAACUUCCCUCCAACUUUAGCCGAUAAACAUUCUCUCAAUUCCAUUACAGAAUCGUGACAUUGACCGAUGAUGCCUAUUUUGAUCUCUAAAUUAUCUAGCUCUAAUUCUUGUUUUAUUUAUUUUUUAUCAAAACGUCCACUCCUGUUUUCUUAUCCUUUUCUCUUUUCUUUUCACGCGGUUUGUUAACUUGAAUUUAUGUUAUUGUUCUCAUUAUUUUGCCUAUUAUUCUUUAUCAAAAAAGAAAAUGUUUACUUGCGGGUGCCGUAUGUUAGUCUGAAUCAUUUGUGAUCUAAAUCUAGGCUCUUUAUGAAUUUUCCUCAAAUAUUGUGAUGCGCAAUUGUUUUUUAGUUUUAAGUGCACGAGAUAAUUGAGUCCCUUCUCUUUUAUUUUCAAUUUUGUAGGUUGAAGUUUAAGUUUUCAUUGGCAUUUAGAAAAAUACUACUCUCUCCAUCCCAAUUUAUGUAGCACUCUUUCCUUUUUAGUUAGUUCCAAAAAAAUAUCACCUUUCUUUAUUUAGAAACAAUUUAUCAUUAGAAUUCCUACUUUAACUUUAAUGAAUUGAUUUACAUCUACACAAAUAUCUAUGGUCCACAUAAAUUGAGAUGGAGUGAGUAAAUAGGAGCAUUUUUCUCUUUUUAAAUUUCAACUUUUAUUUUGUAGAACUCUAUCAUUCUUCACUAUUAUCAACAAAUGCAUUUUAUAAUUAUUUUUUUGACAUAUUAAAUAAUCUUUUAUUUGUUACAUAGGUGAGUCAAAUAAGAUAAAUGAAAAAAAGAAGCUCAGAUACAUUAUAGUACCAAAACAAAUCUAACAGAGGAAGUUGUUAAUUAGAGGGCAAAAUAGACAUUAAAUUACCUGUCAGUGGUCUUGAGAUGGAGUGGGAGAAUAUCUAUGGUCUAACUCGAAGGUCGGCAGGGAGAGUGAUUUUUAACAAUAAGCUGGAGGUGAACUAUUUUCACCUGUUAAAGGCAUAAACUUCUUGGUCCACUGGAGAUGUUCUGAAGCACCACUAUGUGUUGGAUGUUGGUUUUUUCGUGAGAGCACAUUUGUGGCCGUGCUGGUUCACUAGAUGAGCAUUUAAACAGUGGAGAUUUUCUGCUCUACUUCCUAAAAGUGCUUCGAAAGAUGAGAUAUUGUAGAGAGAGGACGCCAAUAAUUCAGUUCUCAUGUUAUGUUGAUCAGCAUUGUGUUACUGAACACUUUUUUGGUGAUUUAAGGAAUUUUUUAAUCCUCUAGCUUUCUUUAAGUUAGGACAGCAAUUUUCUCUGUUUUAAGAAAACUUAAAUGAGUACUUGUAAAAAAAUAAAAAGAACUAACAACAUAAAUGAACGGGCCCAAGCUCUAAGUGCAGAGUUUAUGAAACAUUGAAACCAUUGCAUGAUAUCUUUUUCCUUCUUUCCAGUUUUUGUUUUAAUAGUUUAAAUUGUUCUUCUAGCGAAAUUACUAACAUCCCCACCCUUUCGCAUUGUUUCUUUGUUCCCUUUAUUUUGGGGAUGGGGACUGUAUCUUCUUUACUAGAAAAUGACAAAAAAUAGCAAGGUGCGGCGGGUACGUGAUUUCCAUCACCAUGAUUUGCUAUCUUGCCGCUCAAAGGUGUGCAAAAAGAUUCAAAAGGAGAAACGACCAAAAUCAUCAGAGAAGAAAGAAUGGGAAGGGGCAACUUGCUCAGUUUGCAUGGAGCAUCCUCACAAUGCAGUGCUGCUGCUGUGCUCUUCUUAUGACAAGGGAUGUCGUCCUUAUAUGUGUGCCACUAGCUGUCGUUUGUCGAAUUGUCUUGAGCAGUACAAGAAAGCCUAUGCUAAAGUCACUUCAAUUGAGGGAUCUGAACCAGGGUUGCUGUCAACUGAUGAUCCAAAUUGCUCGUCAGGAGCAGGUUCUUGUGCUGGGAAGUCGGUAGUUGAACUUCUAUGCCCACUCUGUCGCGGGCAGGUGAAGGGUUGGACUGUUGUGGAACCUGCACGCAAGCAUUUAAAUGCAAAGAAGAGAACAUGCAUGCAUGAAAAUUGCUCAUUUGUUGGGACGUACAAAAAGUUAAGGAAACAUGUAAGGCGGGAGCAUCCAUCAG
rnacentral:lncRNA from 1 species